rnacentral:rRNA from 1 species
UAGUCCACGCUGUAAACGAUGAGUGCAAGGUGUUGGGGAUCAAACCCCGGUGCCGCCGUUAACACAGUAAGCACUCCGCCUGGGGAGUACGUACGCAAGUAUGAAACUCAAAGGAAUUGACGGGGACCCGCACAAGUAGCGGAGCAUGUGGUUUAAUUCGAUGCAACGCGAAGAACCUUACCAGGGCUUGACAUAAAAGUGACGAGGGAUAGAGAUAUGCCUUUUCUCUUCGGAGACAGUUUUAC